AAACAGCAAAGGAGUAGGAACACCAGCAUGCAAGAACCACUCACUCAACUCCACAUAACCCCACAAGUGCUACUAUUUCUAUCCUCACCUUUCAUCCAAAUUCUUCCUAAAUCCUAAACUUUCCCAAAUUAUCCCGCCCCAUUCAAAUCAAAAAUCAAAUCAUCAAUUUAUUUUUUCCAUCAUAAACAAUAAAGAAAUUUAAUUUAUAAAAAAAAAUAAAAUUCAAUCUUUGUUUGAGAGAUGGCAAAUCCUACCAAUCAUAAGGCUACACUAUUUUCCUCUUGAAAUUUCCAAGAACACAAAUUGCAACCUACCACCCAUCCCAUAAAUGCCAAAUAAUCCCCAAAAUUUUCAUCAAUUCUAGAGAGAGAAGUGUAAGAGAGAGAAUCCAUAACUGUAAAGUGAGGUGUGUAAAUUUGGAAGCAUGUUCAGAGCAUAUAUAUUAAUUAAUCCAUUGUGAAUUCAUUAAUUCAGAGAAAAAAAGAUUGGUUUUUUAUCACAGGAAGUGUAGAUUCAGUGUAUUUAAAUAAAAUUGUACUGUAUUUGUGUGUACUUUCCUUAGUUUUCUUGAACAAAGAUAGCAUUUUUGGGGAUAAUUUACAUCUGGGUAGCCCCAAUUUUGGCUGUAAAAUCUUGGUUGCUGUAAUUAACAUCAACAAAUCAUGCCUUCUGGUGCUAAGAAGAGAAAAGCUGCCAAGAAAAAGUUGCAAAAAGAAACCAAGAACACCACAAAUGAUGAUGGGUCUCAUUCUUUAGGGAAUGAAACUGCUAAUAAAUCCCAAGAUGAAAGAGAGAGUGAUACUGGUGAAGGUGAAAGAGAGUCUUCGGAGGAACGUGUUGCAGUGGAAGUAAGCUUGGGUGAGCGAAAUGUUUCCGAGGAAGUGAAAUCUGAGGAUAAUUAUAAUGAUGUCAAGGUUAAUGCUGAUGAUAGAGCGAUUAAGAAUCAAGUGCACAGAAAGCCAAGUUCGAGUUCUAGCAGUAGCAGUUCAGAUGAUGAUGCGGUUGCUGUUAAGAAAGACAAGCCUGUGGUAGAUGAGGCAUCCGGAGAGAAUCCUGUCUCAGUCGAGGAGCGCAUUCUCAUUGAAGAGUCGGUUAAGCGAACGCAGGAGAAGGUUGAGACAAAGGUGAUUCAGGUUGUGGACGAGGAUGAAAGUUUGUUGCCUGAAUCUUCGGGUGUAAUUUCUGCUGCUGCUCAGUGCGGGGAUAACCAUGUUAAGGAUUCAAAGACACAUAAGUAUGUUGAGGAGCAGCCUUUGGUAUCUACUGCUCCUUUACCAGUGCGACGAACUUCAUGGACGAACUGCUGUGGGCUUUUUGAGGUUUUCUCAGGUGGAGCUAAUAGAUAAUAUUAGGUUAGGGUAGUAUUACCGCAUACCAAGAAAAGCCAGAGAGAUGCGGUUGGGUAUGGGACAUCAAGAAUCAAGUCCAAAGUUUCAACUUGCAAGCAGUGUCAGAGUAGAAGUUCUGCUUUUUGAGGCGAAUGAGAAGUAGAGAAGCAUGGUUAUAUAGGAAACUAUUCAUACAUAGACAUGGUAAAGAUCUCCAAGCUCCCCUCAUAGAAUAAUCACCUAUUGAAUGUACCUGUACGAGUACGACAUAGAUAUCUUUUUCUCGAACUAUUAUAGUGCUUGUGUCGAUAGCUGUCUAAUUUUUCGGAGUUUUCCUAGGAAGUGCAUUUUGUAUGUUCUAUAUUUGAGUACAUACUGUAUGGUUAUAAUUCAAGAGUCUGUUAUGAUGUGCAACAUUUUUUCCCUAGAUCGGCCAACACUAGAAAUAUUAUUUCAUUAUGAUGUUGAAAUUCGCUGUUUUUCUGUUCGUUAAUCAUUCUUUUCUUAUAAACUUUGGCUUUUGCUGCAUCCGCGCCAGUCCACAGGAAGUUUUGCUCGGUAGGUUAAAUUUGUUAUCAUCUUUUCGGUUCCAUCAAUCAAUGAUGUUAUUCCCCUACCUUCUUCGACCUGUAAUUUCUCGUCCUGUUACUGCGAUUUGGAAUGCUGGGUGAUUUUUGCGGUCUUAUUAGUGUCUCGAGUCAUAUACAAGAUUCUUGGUAGACGUGGUACGAAAUGGUAGUUUCCGUAGCACGUCUUCCUGCUUCCUCUUCCAUGACCACGCUUUCUUGGUUUGUUUAGCUCAAUUUUUAAUUUGUCUAAUGGAAACUUCUUGUUUUGUAAUGGACGUCAAAUGAUCAAAUUAUCUAUCUUUUUUUGCAAAUUGUGGAACCACACUGGACUAGAGGUGUUUAUUCGGGUCAUCGGGUCAGUUUCGGGUUAUAUGCUUCAUGUCGGUUAAAUCGGGUACAUUGAUUUAUAUAUAAUUUUAAAUUCAUUUGAAGUCGGAUCAAGUCGUGUUCGGUUAUAAAAUCAGGUAAAUAUCAGAUCGUCAAGUCUAUUUUGAACACCUUUGCAAUUGGACUAGGCUUUAGGGGGCCACAAUUCAUGAUGCUCGGUUUUCACUAUAGGGCUUUUCUGUGUUAUGGGAAGCUUCCUAGUAUCAACUUUUCAUUAUUACUUUCUUUGGUUGAGCUAAUCAUUCCACAAUCCUAUGGUACUCUUGACUGAAGUUGACAGCUAUUGAUUGAUGUCCUCGGGGGAGAAUCUAGCCCCGAGCAUGC